rnacentral:rRNA from 1 species
CCGCCCGUCACACCAUGAGAGCUGACUGUACCAGAAGUCGCUGAUCCAACCCUUUUAACGAGGGAGGCAAGCGCCUAAGGUAUGGUUGGUAAUUGGGGUG